rnacentral:tRNA from 1 species
AGGGCUGGAGGGCUUCCGGGCCAGUUAGCGGUCUCCAAAACCGUUGGUUGCGGGUUCGAGUCCUGCCACCCCUG